CCUACGGGAAGCAGCAGUAGGGAAUCUUCCGCAAUGGACGAAAGUCUGACGGAGCAACGCCGCGUGAGUGAUGAAGGCUUUCGGGUCGUAAAACUCUGUUGUUAGGGAAGAACAAGUGCUAGUUGAAUAAGCUGGCACCUUGACGGUACCUAACCAGAAAGCCACGGCUAACUACGUGCCAGCAGCCGCGGUAAUACGUAGGUGGCAAGCGUUAUCCGGAAUUAUUGGGCGUAAAGCGCGCGCAGGUGGUUUCUUAAGUCUGAUGUGAAAGCCCACGGCUCAACCGUGGAGGGUCAUUGGAAACUGGGAGACUUGAGUGCAGAAGAGGAAAGUGGAAUUCCAUGUGUAGCGGUGAAAUGCGUAGAGAUAUGGAGGAACACCAGUGGCGAAGGCGACUUUCUGGUCUGUAACUGACACUGAGGCGCGAAAGCGUGGGGAGCAAACAGGAUUAGAUACCCUGGUAGUCCACGCCGUAAACGAUGAGUGCUAAGUGUUAGAGGGUUUCCGCCCUUUAGUGCUGAAGUUAACGCAUAAGCACUCCGCCUGGGAGACCCCCCU
rnacentral:rRNA from 1 species